UUGUUCUGCCCUGGCUGAGAGGUACACCCUGAACAACGCUAGUGAUGGAAGCCUUGUUCUGCCCUGGCUGAGAGGUACACCCUGAACAACGCUAGUGAUGGAAGCCUUGUUCUGCCCUGGCUGAGAGGUACACCCUGAACAACCCUAGUGAUGGAAGCCUUGUUCUGCCCUGGCUGAGAGGUACACCCUGAACAACGCUAGUGAUGGAAGCCUUGUUCUGCCCUGGCUGAGAGGUACACCCUGAGCAACGCUAGUGAUGGAAGCCUUGUUCUGCCCUGGC